AGAGUUUGAUCCUGGCUCAGGACGAACGCUGGCGGCACGCUUAACACAUGCAAGUCGAACGAGAGAAGAGGAGCUUGCUUUUCUGAUCUAGUGGCGGACGGGUGAGUAACACGUGAGCAAUCUGCCUUUCAGAGGGGGAUACCGAUUGGAAACGAUCGUUAAUACCGCAUAACAUAAUUGAACCGCAUGAUUUGAUUAUCAAAGAUUUAUCGCUGAAAGAUGAGCUCGCGUCUGAUUAGCUAGUUGGUAAGGUAACGGCUUACCAAGGCGACGAUCAGUAGCCGGACUGAGAGGUUGAUCGGCCACAUUGGGACUGAGACACGGCCCAGACUCCUACGGGAGGCAGCAGUGGGGAAUAUUGCACAAUGGAGGAAACUCUGAUGCAGCGAUGCCGCGUGAGGGAAGAAGGUUUUAGGAUUGUAAACCUCUGUCUUCAGGGACGAAAAAAGACGGUACCUGAGGAGGAAGCUCCGGCUAACUACGUGCCAGCAGCCGCGGCAAUACGUAGGGAGCGAGCGUUGUCCGGAAUUACUGGGUGUAAAGGGAGCGUAGGCGGGAUCGCAAGUCAGAUGUGAAAACUAUGGGCUUAACCCAUAAACUGCAUUUGAAACUGUGGUUCUUGAGUGAAGUAGAGGUAAGCGGAAUUCCUAGUGUAGCGGUGAAAUGCGUAGAUAUUAGGAGGAACAUCAGUGGCGAAGGCGGCUUACUGGGCUUUAACUGACGCUGAGGCUCGAAAGCGUGGGGAGCAAACAGGAUUAGAUACCCUGGUAGUCCACGCCGUAAACGAUGAUUACUAGGUGUGGGGGGACUGACCCCUUCCGUGCCGCAGCAAACGCAGUAAGUAAUCCACCUGGGGAGUACGACCGCAAGGUUGAAACUCAAAGGAAUUGACGGGGGCCCGCACAAGCAGUGGAGUAUGUGGAUUAAUUCGAAGCAACGCGAAGAACCUUACCAGGUCUUGACAUCGUAUGCAUAGCUCAGAGAUGAGUGAAAUCUCUUCGGAGACAUAUAGACAGGUGGUGCAUGGUUGUCGUCAGCUCGUGUCGUGAGAUGUUGGGUUAAGUCCCGCAACGAGCGCAACCCUUACUGUUAGUUGCUACGCAAGAGCACUCUAGCAGGACUGCCGUUGACAAAACGGAGGAAGGUGGGGAUGACGUCAAAUCAUCAUGCCCCUUAUGACCUGGGCCUCACACGUACUACAAUGGCUGUCAACAGAGGGAAGCAAAGCCGCGAGGUGGAGCGAACCCCUAAAAGCAGUCUUAGUUCGGAUUGUAGGCUGCAACCCGCCUACAUGAAGUCGGAAUUGCUAGUAAUCGCAGAUCAGCAUGCUGCGGUGAAUACGUUCCCGGGCCUUGCACACACCGCCCGUCACGCCAUGGGAGUCGGUAACACCCGAAGCCUGUAGUCUAACCGCAAGGAGGACGCAGUCGAAGGUGGGAUUGAUGACUGGGGUGAAGUCGUAACAAGGUA
rnacentral:rRNA from 1 species